UACGGUGGGAGCAAGCGUUGUUCGGAUUUACUGGGCGUAAAGGGCGCGUAGGCGGCCAGCACAAGUCAGUUGUGAAAUCUCCGAGCUUAACUCGGAAAGGUCAACUGAUACUGUGCGGCUAGAGUGCGGAAGGGGCAACUGGAAUUCUUGGUGUAGCGGUGAAAUGCGUAGAUAUCAAGAGGAACACCUGCGGCGAAGGCGGGUUGCUGGGCCGACACUGACGCUGAUGCGCGAAAGCCAGGGGAGCGAACGGG
rnacentral:rRNA from 1 species